rnacentral:sRNA from 1 species
CAGCCUCCUUCUUUCAGCCCAGCCAUUGGCCGUAAGACAAUUCCUUAUAAUCAAUCAAUGCCUGCUCGGGGCAGAGACCUUCAGACCUGGAAACAUGGCUUUGGGAACUGAAUUAAGACAAAGCAUUAGAACCAGUUCCCAACACUAUUUGCUGCUGCAGCUAGGAGUAUUGGGAAGGAGUGAGGGCAAAGGAAGUGUGGAGCUUCUUGCCUGACAGUCUUGCAAGGAUGAAUGCACAGGAGCGCCUGCCUCAGGGCAGUCAGCUGAGGAGACAGAAACCAUGGAAGGAAGAAGUCAGCGUCACACACCCACUGCCGGAGUCCACUCCGUACAGCUGUGGUAGAUCACCUGAGGCUUGGAAAGAAUGAGAUACAUUCUUAUGGCUCUGGAGGUGGGAACGCCUACGGUCAGGGCAGCUUCAGUGUGCCCUGUGUUGGUGCAUCUCUACAUAGCAAAAGGCGGAAGGGUAAGAAAGGUACCUAGUGUGUCGUCAUAUAGAAGAAGAGUAAAAGAGAAUGAAUGAGCUCAGCAGAGACCUCUCCCGCCAGGAUGAAUCCAUGCUCGAGGGCAGAGUCAACAUAACCUAAACACCUCCCCAACACAACUGCACUGGGGAUGAACAAUAAGGAGCACCUUUGUCUUCUAUGACCGUUUACUAUAAAUUCUUCAUAAGUAACUUCAGGCCAUUUAUAUCAAUAUAUGGCAUAACAAUUUAAAAUGGUACAAUUUUUUUUUUAUUUAACUGAUAGAACUUUAAUUGACAGACUUUUUCUUUGCCUUCGACCCCACAGAUGCCGUUUGCUACAUUACUCAACUCUGGCGUUUUCCCAUCUCUGAGCACUCAACCUUACUCCAAAUGUCCCUCUCUGAUCCUGUGGAUGCUCUAUUGGUCAUUUAGAGACACUGUUUUUGUUACUAGUUUAUGGAAGGGAGGGUCAAUAGCAGAGGUACCCCCAUGGCACCAGAAAACUCAUACAGUUCUCUAUAGUGUUAGCAAACCAAAAUGCUGUGGUGGGGGAACGGGCAGCUUCCAAAGCCAGGGUCAGAAAGAGAAAAAUGUGCGGAGUAUGGUGGUCCUGUUCUCCUCUUCAGAGGGGAGCAUACUGAGCUGGAGAGAACAAGUCCCAUGCCAAAACAGAGACUAGGCUCCCCUGUGCUGUGCCUUUUUACUGGGUUAACAUAAAAGUAGCUUAGAAGAGAAGGGAUUUGCAAGCUACCUAUUUAUAAGAUGCCAGCUGUCCAUGGUAUUAGAACUGGGUGUGUGGGUCUCACGAAAAGGACCACACAAAUCAAAGUAUUUCAGCAAGGCUAAAGUGCUAUCCUGCAGUGGGGCACUUAGCUGCAAUUAGCGUGCAAACAGACAAGCACGCUGGGCAAGAGGCCCAUUGGAUUUGUAUUCCCAACACAAAGGAGGUUCUGUGCCUCAUUCUGGGUGACCAGAGCUCAACCUCAUAUUCUUACAUUGCUGGCUGAUCUGAAGGGACACAGCUGAUAAGAAAAAGACAAGCAACCUUGAGCACAUGUUUUGAUGUCAGGAAGUUCCGACCCUGGAGGAUUUUGACUUUCUGCCAAAUGGUGUUUUAUACUUUUUAAUGGAGUUUUGUCUUAUUUAACCCACUGAUAGAAAAGGGAGCACAUUUCGUUGACACUGCUCAGGAACCCAUGUCAUCUGUCCCCUCGUGCUUCUCACAGGACUAAGAAGCUCUGAACCCAACUGGCUUGCCCUCUACCCUGCGUGUGUCUAGUGAUGUGACAUGUUUUUCUCAGGUCUACA